rnacentral:lncRNA from 13 species
AGUAGAUGUUCAGUAGAUGUUUUAGUAGAUGUUUUAGUAGAUGUUCAGUAGAUGGUCAGUAGAUGUUUUAGUAGAUGUUUUAGUAGAUGUUCAGUAGAUGGUCAGUAGAUGUUUUAGUAGAUGUUUUAGUAGAUGUUUUAGUAGAUGUUUCAGUAGAUGUUCAGUAGAUGUUCAGUAGAUGUUCAGUAGAUGUUUUAGUAGAUUUUUUAGUAGAUGUUCAGUAGAUGUUCAGUAGAUCGUCAGUAGAUGGUUCAUUAGAUGGUUCAGUACAUGUUCGGUAGAUGGUUCGGUAGAUGGUUCGGUACAUGUUCAGUAGAUGUUCAAUAGAUGUUCAGUAGAUGUUCAGUAGAUGUUCAAUACUGUUUAUGUUAUGACAUCUUUAUCAUAAGGAAACUAUGGCAACUAUGGGUGCUAAGGGAGGUGUUCUUCUGAUUUGACUUCAUGUAAACAGUUAUGUGGAAUAAUAACAUUUCACAACUGUGGCUCAGUUGGUAGUUGCUCUGGAUCAGAGCAUCUGCUAAAUGACUGUAAUGUUGUUCCUACAUGGAGUAGGAGAACAGUAGAAUAGGGAUGAGCCAUAUUGCAUCUCUGCCCUGUGUUGAAUCCUAGGGCCCAUUAACCUCUCCUCCUCACAAUAUCUCUCCUCUCCUCCUCAUGAUAUCUCUCCUCCUCAUGAUAUCUCUCCUCCUCUCCUCCUCACAAUAUCUCUCCUCCUCACGAUAUCUCUCCUCCUCGUGAUGUCUCUCCUCCUCUCUAAAUGUAGCCUCUUUCCUCCUCUUCCUCCCUUGUCUAACCUCCUCUUCUUCUCUCUAUUCCACUCCCCCCACUCCUUGUUUCUCCUACACUGUACAUUCAUAAAAUCAAUUUUGCACAUGAUUAUGCUCAGCCACAGAAUGGGAUGGAGGUGCUAUUUUUAGUCGGCCAAGGGAGGAGAGGGAGAGCAGGGAAGCGAGAGAGAAAAGGGGGUGGGGACAAGUCAUUAUUUUCGUGAUGUAGCUGUAGCUGGGGAGAGAUUGGAGAUCACCAGUUGGUUGGAGGCAGCUUGUCUAGAGGCAGCUUGGUUGGAGAUCACCAGUUGGUUGGAGGCAGCUUGGCUAGAGGCAGCUUGGUUGGAGAUCACCAAUUGGUUGGAGGAAGCUUGUCUAGAGGCAGCUUGGUUGGAGAUCACCAGUUGGUUGGAGGCAGCUUGGCUAGAGGCAGCUUGGUUGGAGAUCACCAGUUGGUUGGAGGCAGCUUGGCUAGAGGCGGAGAGAGGAGUGAGAGCAGGCAACGGAGACGAGCAAACGACACCAGCUGAAAGACAGAUAAGACACAGGUGGGUGGACUAUGUGUGCGUUUGUAUGUGUGUGCCCACUUUGCUCUC